GGGCGAGUAUGCAAAUUGGCGAAGCAAGCAGACUGUAAAUCUGUGACGUAAGAGACAUUGGGGGUUCGAGUCCCUCCUUUCCCACCA
rnacentral:tRNA from 1 species